UAUUUCGAAUCAUAAACCAAUGGAUUAGAAUUAUGUCGAUAAAAAUGGUAAUUUGGUACAAAACGAUCCAACUAUUCCAAUUCAAAAAUGUCACCAAUGUGAUGGAAAAAAGAUUUUUUCACAUUUAAUUUUUCUGUAAAUCGAAUAUGAUAUUUUCGUGCAGACAUUUAUGUAUUUUUUAUGGUAUGAAUACAGAAAUAUAAAUCGUAGAAAAGGAAAAAAAAACAGCCAUUGAAAAAAAUCGUGAAAACUUAAGAAUAAACAAGAUUUUGGCACUAAAUUUUUGAUCAAAGAAUUUAAUUGAUUCAAGAUUAUCGUUGUUUAAAGUUAUUGUCGUCUAAGAUCAAAAUUGGCCCCGAAAUCGAUGAAGAUCGUUUGGUUCGGUCAUCAUGUAAUUUUGACUCAAAUUGGUGAACAAAUUCCAUUUUCGAUGACUUUCAAAUUUUUCUUUUUCAGAUUCCAUUAUACUUACAUGCCUUGAACGAUUGAAUAAAAUCAAAAUGUCAAAAAAUGAAAAAAUCUGUUAACAAGUAAUGAUGAUGAUUUGUUUGGCUAUAAAAGUCAACAGGAAUCUUUAAUUCACUGGAUUUGUUUUUCACUAUAAUGCUCAAAACUUGUUUUGUUGGCUCUCUUUCUUUUUCUCUCUCUCUCUCUCAUUUUUAAAUCACUCAUGUUUUUGUUUUUG